CCCCUCCCGCCCGCAAGCGCUCAGUACGGAGGUGUCCGUGGGCGAGGCGGCACGUUCGGUGCACGCCUCGCUUUAUUGUAUUGUUUUGGCUGUGCACGCCAUUGUUUUAUUCCAUCCGACCGUAAUCAGUACGAUAUAUGAGUGUAAUACGAAGCCUGCAUUAUUUAAUGAAAUAGUGCUCGUCUGUGUAUGCGACAAUAAGAGUUCUUAUCAACACUGAUAAGUACUCGGUGGCUUAUUGACAAGUGAAACUGAUCGUUCCAAUCGUAUAAGACAGUUUGUGUUUUGUUAUUGAACCGUAAAUGUGCAGUGAUCUUUGUCGUUAUUAAUAGCAUGCAAAUCAAUAACUAAGUGGAUGCCCAACUCCGAACUGAGAAGAGCUCUUGCUGUGCGGUUUAUAACACGGUUGCAUAUUGAUUGGUCCACCCGGCAUCACUGGAAACUGUCGUCCCGUUACGAUUGAAACUCUUGGCGAAGCAUUGACCGUUAACCUUCGAAUUGUACCUCAAGCAACAAAAAGAUUGACAAAAAAUUACUUUAUCACGU